AAUGAAACAGCAGAGCCAUCGCACAUUGUUAUGCAACUCACUGUCUGCAAGGGUGGCUCGUAGCUCCUUCUUUAUUCAGCAAGUGCCAAGUGCAUGUUUAAUCAAUGUCACAGCUCACCACAGUGUGCAACUAAAGCCACCGUCAUUCCUCUCUUCAGAUUUGCCUGGCUGAGUUAUGCAAUGCUCUGAAGAAUACCUUGGAAUUCUUUCCAGAGGCUCUGAAUGCAGGUGUGUGACAGCGUUCACACUACUGCCAGCAAAGCAGACUUCUUUUCAUCCUUUUUCAGGCUGGACUAAAAUUACAUAGUGUGACUGCACGUAGUUCGCUGCAUUUGGAAUUACAGCAUGUCAACGUGAGAAAGGCUCUUCAGACGGCUGCCACAAAGAGUAAAUCAAAGGCUGGGUUUUUCUGAAGUCUUAAUAAAUAACUAAGUAUAACUGAAUAAAACCAGGAGCUGUUUGUAUUUUUUUUAAACAAAACAGAAUAGCAUGCAUUUUGUUGCUCUGCAUCAUCGAAGGAAAAAAAGCCACAAUUUUAAUGGGAAUUAGUCAACAGUGAGGAUCAUUACGAGAAAGAGCUUUACUGUUUUUCGACUACACUUGCUUUAGUGGAUUACUGAAAGAGAAUACCAGUCAUUUGGAAGAUCCUGUAACAUUAUUAUCCUCACCGAUAAACUUCAUCAAGAAACUGCUCGUGCUCCUAUCUGAUCUGUCUGAGUGAGGAGAGCAGCCCCUUCAUGAAGAUAAAAGCCUGGCUUGCCACUGAAUCGACAAGUAAGAAGCAUGUCUGAUGACAUUUUAUUCCUGAUGCAAUGUAGGCUAGCUGCCAGAAUACUGGUGAAGGCAUUUGCAGGAAAAAUGGGGACCUCUGCCAUCACAACACUGGAAGAUGUAAAAAGGCAAGAGGAAAAGGAGGAAAAAGAAGAAUCUAUUUUAGCACUGCUUGGAAUCAUUGGAACUGUGCUCAAUUUAUUUGUUAUUGUUUUUGUGUAUAUCUACACUACACUUUGAUGACAUUUUUGAAUAUCAAUUGCACAUCACACAGUGCAAAGACCUGCGAUGGCAAGAAUGAUUUCUAAAGCAAAAAACCUCCACUGUCUGAAAGGAUUAUCAAAAACAUUCCAGAGCAAAGUGUCUGGCUAAGGGUGCUGCAUCAAUGACUGAUAAAUGUAUCUGUAAGCCCAGUUAGAGUGCUACAUUAUGUAAAUGAAGGUAGACAAUAUUCAACUUCUUGUUGGCAACAGAUGAAAUCCAAAUAGCAGGAUCAGAAAUGGCACUUUUUUACUGCCAGCAAACAUGCAAGACAGAAAUGUAAGCAAACACUGAAAAUACUCAGAACAGAGAAAGACAUAAAUUAAAUAUAUAAACAAAUAUAAGCAAGCCCCCAUGAUGCUUUCUAUGGUUUUAUGCAGUAUGUCUCUUCACAGCUGAGACCAGAAAACAGACAAAAAGGGGUUUAUUUUUAGACCACCAUAAUUUAGGCUUAUAACUUACAUUAAUGUAUGAUAAGCGUGGAAACAGGACCACUAUUAUACCAGAAGUUGUAAUACUAUAAAUAAAAUUUUAACUAUUGACUAUAUUCUGCAGCAUUUUUGUUAGUCUUGUGGAAAGCUGAAAAAGGUUAGACUUUCUUGCCUUUACUAAAUCUGUAUUUGAAAUCAUCAUGCUAUACAGACAAUGUGCUUUUCUAAUUAAAAAUCCUUUAAAGUGGUGUGAAAAAAUAAAGAAUAGUUUUAGUACUUCUUUUAAGAAAUAUUAAUAACUAUGACACACUAAUACAUAUUCUCUAAAUGAAAAAAACUUAAAUUACAUUUUCUAUAUUGUCAUUUUUUGAAUGUGCUUAACAGACAUCAAAUACAACUCUCAUGUUUUCAUCCUGAUGUUAAUUUCCACGUCAGACAUAUCACACAAGGAUUCAAGGUGUCUCAUGGAAAACAGGUUUAAUAACCUUUGUCCACAAGACUGUACUCUCCCUUUCUGGACGAGGUCCUGAAGACAUUUUCCCUUUUUGCACUGUUUAUGAUCGAGGCCCAGAAUUGCAACUUUUACGCAUACUCCAUGGAAUGUCCAAUUUAACUACCUGAAAUUGAUGAAAUUAUUUCCACAUUUUAAAUUAAACCUACAUGUCUUUGAAUUAGAUCCAAAGCUGCAGAUAGUCUGAGAUCAUAGAAGUUUUCGCAUAUGUGAUUUUAUCUCACAUACGUCUUAUAAGACAAAAGUUACUUUUGAGAGCUUAGGAUUAAAAA